UUUGAGAAACAAGUAUUUAAAUAUUUUAUUAACAUGCUGUGAGUUUAUUUGUUCAAAGGCAUGUCUGUACAUUUUGACUGCUUUGCUCUCUAUUUUAAAGCAUUAAACUUUAUUUUGUGCAGACAUUUUAUUUUAUUUUUUUUGCAACGUCCAUUGAAAAGCCACAGAAGGGCAACUGUCUCUCCGUAUUCAAGGAGAAUGGCUAUACCAAGAUCUAAGGGCAUCCAAGAGCCUUACAGAAAAUUGCAACAUUUUUGUUUAAGGCCUGUGUGAGCCUCCUGUGUAUCAUUGCUAGAUAACAUGUUUCUUUGUUAGGUUUCUCUUGUGAUAAAUACCUCGCUUUUCACAGCCAUAGCUCCAGCUUCAGGGAUGCAAUGCCCUCUUCUGGUCUCCAUUGGCCCCUGUACUCAUGUGUACACCAAGCACAACCGUAGGGCUGACAGGAUGGCACUGCACAUAGAGGCACUUGCUGCCAAGCUUGAUGUGGUGGUCUGAAUGUCCGCUAUAAGUUCAGAGGUUUGGAUGUUUGCUUGCAAAUUGGUGGUACUGUUUGGGUUGGUUUAGGAGUUGUGGCCUUUGUUGAAGGAAGUAUGCCACCAGGGGGUGAGAUUCGAGGGUUUGAAAGGCACAUGUCAUUCCCAGUUCAUUCUCUGCUGCCUGCUUGUAGUGGUUCAGGAAGUGAGCCUCAGCCUCUUGCUCCAACUGCCAUGUCUACUGCUUGCUGCCAUGCUUCCAAACUAUGACACUCUCUAGAACUGUAAGCCAAAUACACCCUUCCUACUGUAAGUUGUUUCAGUCAUGGUGUUUGUCUUAGUCAGCGUUACUACUGCUGCGAUGAAACACCAUGACUAAAGAAGCCCAGAAGGAAAGGCCUUAUUUGGUAUUUGCUCCCACAUCAUAGUUCAUCAUUAAGAGAAGUGAGGGCCGUAACCUAGAAGCGAGAGCUGAUGUAGAAGCCACGGAGGAAUGCUGCCUUCUAGCUUGCUCCCUCUAGCUUGCUCAGUCUAGGUGUUUGUUUGUUUGUUUGUUUGUUUUUAUGUAAGCCAGGAAAAACAGCCCAGGGUUGAUCCCAUCCACAAUGGACUUGGGCCUCCCACAUCAAUUACUAAUCUCUUACAGGCUUGCCUGCAGCCAGAUCUGAUGGAGGCACUUUCUCAAUUGACUUUCCCUUCUCACAGAUGACUCUAGCUUGUGUCAAGUUGACAUAAAACUAGCCAGCACAACUGCCUUCUCGUCAACUUGCCACAGUCUUGAGUCGCAACCUCUCCUUUCUUGUCCAUCCCUAAGAUCACAUGUUGAUACUAACAUCACAAUAUAAAACAUUUUACAGACUUAAACAGUCUCACAGUUUUUAAAAAUUUAAACACUUAAACAUUCAGUCCCUUUAAAAAUCCAAAGUCUCUUAAAUCCAAAAUCUCUUCUAAAAGUUCAAAGUCUCUCAACUAUGGGCUCUAUUUUUUAAAAAGUUAAAUACUUUCUUCCAGACGGAAGAAUGACAGCACAGUCACAAUCAGAUCAAAACAAACUCUAACAGUGUGAAUAACUCAAGGUCCAGUACCUGGGCUCAGAUUCGCUCAGAUCUUCUAGGCUCCUCCAAAGAGCUGGGUAUUGUUCUGGCCCCACCCUCUGCAGCACAACGGCUUGUCUUCCCGGAUCUAGCUGGCUCCGUUCUUGGUGGUCAUCCCAUGGACAGGCAUCUCCAAAAUGCCGGGGUCUUCUUCUGCAACUGGGCUUCACUUCCACCAAUAGCCUCUCCUGGGCACUCUGCACACUGCCAAGCCUCAACUUCUCAGCAUGACCCUUUCAAUCCUGCAUCUUCAACUGCUGUUGAAGCUGUACCUUCACCAAUGACACUUCCUGGCCACUCAGCAGUGCAAAGUCUCAGCUGUUCAUGGCUUCAAGGCCAGUGCCACUGGGUGUCUCUUACACUACCCAAGUUCAGCUGUCCCUGGAGCACAGCUUCUGUGUGCUCUGUCUGAGGAAACACACCCCAGUUCACUUCGCCUCAGCGAUGCCGUUCUCUUCCUAAUCACCUCUGAUUUCUCAGCUCUAGCUGACCAGCAUCGAUUGUUUCAGUAACGCAAAGAUUUAUUUGGCUCACACAUCCUGAGUCACACUCCAGUGAGGGAAGUCAAGGCAGGAGCUCAAACUAGGCAGGGUCCUGGAGGCAGGAGCUGAUGCAGAGGCUGUGGAGGAGUGCUGCUUACGGGCUUGCUCACCGUGACUUUUUCAGCCUGCUUCUUUAUUUAUAGAACCCAGGAGCACUAGCCCAGGUUCAGAGAUGCAGAUGUUCAAGGGAUGAGGCAGGAACUCAGGCACAACAGAAUCCUAGGAAUGACCUCUAGCACCACUAUAGCGUGAGGCACGAGACUUUCAAGCUUUGCCUCUCUUUACAAGUGACAAUUAUUAAAAUUAUUCUUCCACUAAUAAUAGUGUUUAAGAGGGCUGGGAUGUGACUCAAUGGAAUAACAUUUCACAUGCAAGGUCCUGGGGUUUCCAGUUGGUAAAGGCUUGCCCAUGGGUCACUAAUUCUCCUGAAUAUCUAUGCCAUGUUACCUGGGAAGCCAGGCACCACCAUGCCUUUCACUGUGGUGUUUUCUCCAGGCCACAAAAUAAAAAAGGCAUCCCAAAAUAUGUGUGCACAGCAACCAAGAGGGAGGAGGAAUUGACCUGGGGUUCAGAAAAGAAAAGUGAUUUUUAUUUUUGUGUGUCCCAAACUGAGCAACUUUAUAGAAGAGCCCAAGUCUGUGUGCUGGAAAAGCCAGCUGUGCUGAUGGGAUACUCUCGCUGGUAAGCAGCUUCAGCAGCAGCUGUGACCCCAACCCCUGGAGGAACCCUGUCAGGGUUGCCUCCCAGCUGGCCUGUUGCCUAGCAAACCACCAAGGUCUACUGGGAUGAUCCUGUCUUUCCCUCUCUCUUCAGAUGUUCCUACACGGUCUCCUCCCUCUUGGCUGCUGCGCACACAUAUUUUGGGGUGCCUCUUUUAUUUUGGGACCUGGAGAAAACACCACAGUGAAAGGCAUGGUGCCUGGCUUCCCAGGACACGUAUCCACAACACAGCAAUCGCCUGCUUUCCUACAGAAGUUAGCGGGUUGGUGCGAUGACGAUUUGCUGCCAGCCACACACCUGAAGGUCUGAGGCUGCUCCACAGGUCUCCUGCCAUCCUCCUGGCUUUCUGGACAUGUUCUCUUGGCAGUGCAAACGAUAUAUUGGUCAUUGGCCGCUUUUAACACAGAAAUUGAGGCUUUGAGAGGCUUGCUCAAGCAAGUGGUGACAGCUGGAAUUAGAAUAAUUUUCCCUGAUUAUUGGUAUAAUCAUGACCUGAGGAGACACGGAGCCAGAACGCCUGGACCGGCACAGAACUGACAUUUCUGAAAGAGGAAAACAUUAAAGCCAGAACGGUCACCCACUCAUCAUCCCUGACAUCAGGGUAGGUUUGUGUGCCGGACCCCACAAUGCAUUCUGGGGAUUAAGUACUGACUGGGCAAGUCCUCACACUUUACUCGUGGGCCCCUUGAUCCAUCAGAUAAGAGAGUCUAUUAACAACAACAGACUCAAAAUCUCACGUUAGCUCAGGAUUCAGCUCAGCUGACAGAGCACUGGCCUAGCAUGAAGGAAGCCAUGAGUUCCAAUUCUACCACUCUGAAGACGUACAACUGGGUGUGUCGGCACAGACCUGUAACCCCAGUACUAGAAAGGUAGAGGCAGGAGAAUCAGAAGUUCAAGGCUGUCUCUGGCUAUAUGGAUAUAGAAGUUCAAGGUCAGGCUAGAAUAUGUGUCUCAAUUUUUAUUUUAUUUUUUAUUAUUUUUAUUUUUAAAAGUUUCUUUUCUUCCUUCCUUCCUUCCUUCCUUCCUAUCUCCAAUGCUGUCCCCCACCCAGUUCUCACAGAAAGCCUCCUCUCACACCCCUCCCCUUCUCCUCUGUGAGGGUGGUUUCCCCCCUUUGGCAUCCCUCCACCUUGGCACAUCACAUCUCUGACAGAUUAGUCUCAUCCUCUCCCACUGAGGCCAGACAAGGCAGCCCUGUUGGGGAACAUAUGCCGCAGUCAGGCUACAGCUUUGGGGUGAGCCUCUGCUCCAGUUAUUGGGGGACCCACACAGGGACCAAGCUGCACAUCUACUACAUAUGUGUGUGGGGCCCUCAUUUCAGCCUGUGUAUGUUCUUUGGUUGGUGGUUCAGUCUCUGAGAGCGCCCAGGGGUCCAGGUUAGUUGACUCUGUUGGUCCUCCUGUAGGGUUCCCAUCCUCUUCAGGGCCUCAGUGUUUGUAAAUAGCUCAGCUGGCAGAAUGCCUGCCUAGCGUGCAAAAAGCCAUGAGUUGGAUCUCCAGCACUGUAUGCGUGGUAUGGUACUAACUUGCAAUUUCAGCACUGGGGAGAUAGAGAUAAAAGGACCAGAAAAUCAGUGUCAUUCUCUGCUACAUAAAGGCAAGACCAGCCUGGAUACCUGAGAUGCUGGGUCAAACUAACAAACCAACCUCAUCCCCUUUAUAACACAAACCUUGUAAUAUAUAUAUGCGCGCACACACACAUAUAUCUAUAUUUCUCUCUCUCUCUCUCUAUCUCUAUAUCUAUAUCUAUAUAUAUGCACACUCAAUGUUUGGGCAUAAAACAAUUUUCAAAUGAAAAAUAUAUAGCUUAUCUCCCCGGGGUUUGGAGAACAUAGCUAAGGAGGUGUGGAGAGAAUGAAAGAGCUGGGGAGGGAGCCGUGAAUGCUGCCUUCUGGGUAUGAGGUGGCUGUUUCACACAUGAACUCGGCGGCUGUGGCUACCUGUACAUGGUCAAGCCAGAUAAAGAUCCUAGCAUGUACAUGGGAGGAGCGACUGAAUCACCACUCUUAGUGAGCAGCUCUUGGCAGUUGAUGCUGGGGAACGGGCCAUUCUCUUUGAUGAAGUGACCCCUGGGAGGUUGUCUAUGUGCCCACAUGGGGAUGACCCCACACAAAUACACAUGUGGAUAGUACUAACCGGACUUGGUGGACCAAAACAGAGGACAUAAAGUUGGGAGGGAGAUGUGGAGCUAUCUUGGAG
ensembl:lncRNA